UGCAAGUCGAGGGGUAACGAUGGCUUCGGCCAAGCGACGACCGGCGCACGGGUGAGUAUCGCGUUUGUAACCUACCUCUGACUGGAGGAUAGCCCGAAGAAAUUCCGAUUAAUACACCAUAAUACUAUGGACCGGCCUCUGUUCAUGGUUAAAGCCCCGGCGGUCAUAGAUGGGCAUGCGUGACAUUAACUUGUUGGUGAGGUAACAGCUCACCCAGGCUACGAUGUCUACGGGGUCUGAAAGGAUGGUCCCCCCCACUGGGACUGAUACUCGGACCAGACUCCUACCGGAGGCAGCACUGAGGAAUAUUGUUCAAUGGGCCAAAGCCUGAACCAACCAUGCCGCGUGAAGGAAGACAGCCCUAUGGGUUGUAAACUUCUUUUGUACGGGAAGAAACGCUUCUACCUGUAAAGGUUUGACGGCUCCGUAUGAAUAAACUUCGGCUAACUCCGUGCCACCAACCGCGAUAAUACGGACGAAGCAAGCGUUAUCCGGAUUUAUUGCGUUUAUGCGGUACGUACGCGGGAGCUUAAGUCAGUGAUGAGAUCCUGCAACGUAACUGGAAAACUGUCAUUGAUACUGUGCUUCUUGAAUGUACUUGAGGUAAGGGGACUGUGUGAUGUGGCACUGAAAUGCAUAUAUAUUACUCAGAAGAGCAAUUGCGAAUGCAUCUUACUAAACUACGAUUGACACUGAUGUACUAAAGCGUGUCGGAGCGAACAGGAUUACAUACACCUGGUAGACACGCUGUAAACGAUGAUCACUCGUCGUUGACAAUACACAGUCAGCGAGCAAUCGAAAGCAUUAAUUGAUCCACAUGGGGAGUACUCAGACAAGGUUGAAACUCAAAGGACUAGACGGGGGAGCCGCACAAGCGGAGGAACAUGUGGUGUAAUUCGUUGAUACGCGAGGAACUUUACGUGGGGUUAAACGUAGAAGGACGGACCGGGAAAUUGGUCUUUCUUCGGACGGUCUGCAAGGUUCUUCAUGGCUGUUGUCGGCUCGUGCCGUGAGGUGUCGGGUUAAGUCCCAUAAUGAGCGCAACCCUCAUCCUUAGUUGCCAGCGGGUAAUGCCGGGGACUCUAAUGAAACUGCCGGUGUAAACCGAGAGGAAGGUGGGGAUGACGUCACGUCAGCACGGCCGUUAUGUCCAGGGUUCCACACGUGUUACAAUGGUCGGUACAAAGGGCAGGUACCUGGAGACAGGAUGCUAAUCUCGAAAAUCGAUUUCAGUUCGGAUCGAAGUCUGCAACUAGACUUCGUGAAGCGGGAUUCGGUAUUAAUCGCGCAUCAGCCAUGGCGCGGUGAAUCCGUUCCCGGGCCUUGUACACACCCCCCGUCAAGCCAUGGAAGCUGGGGGUACGAGAAGUCC
rnacentral:rRNA from 1 species